UACGGAGGAUGCAAGCGUUAUCCGGAAUGAUUGGGCGUAAAGCGUCCGCAGGUGGCUGUGUAAGUCUGCUGUCAAAGAGCAAAGCUCAACUUUGUAAAGGCAGUGGAAACUACACGGCUAGAGUGCGUUCGGGGCAGAGGGAAUUCCUGGUGUAGCGGUGAAAUGCGUAGAGAUCAGGAAGAACACCGGCGGCGAAGGCGCUCUGCUAGGCCGCAACUGACACUGAGGGACGAAAGCUAGGGGAGCGAAUGGG
rnacentral:rRNA from 1 species